rnacentral:lncRNA from 1 species
GCGAGUUCUCGGCGGCGAUUUCCUUCGCCAAAAAUUUGGCAGGCCAUCGUUUUGGCAGGGCUGGUUUGGGUUCAAUCCAAACAGCCCCAUACUCCUCUGCCGCCAUCCCUGCCCCCCGCGCCCAUUCGGACCUCGCCGGAACCCCGAGCCACCGGUGGGCAGACCAAACUGGUUCCGCCGUCUGUGUGCCGCAGAGCACCUCGCCGUUCCCUCCCCCGAGCGAAGUCCUCCCGAACGCCGUGCCACCGUGCCCUGAGCUUGCAAGGUGAGUUCUCUGAUCGAUUGGCGUGAGCUGGGGAUUUGCGCCUGUUUUAUAUGUUCAAUUGCUAUGAUAUGAACGGCGGAUUGGGGGUCAGAGCAGAGCAGUCCAUCUCGCAGCACGUGGUUUUCCCCAAAGUUCAAACAAGAUCUCGUUUUUUGUCUAGACUCCACGACAUGAUUCUGCCAGGAAGAUUUGAUCAAUCAAUUUAGGCAGGGGUGACAAGAAUCCUGGGUUAAUACCUACACGCUUUAGGCAAACAGGGGAUAUGAUUUCUUGGGGUAAUUAGCAAAGAUCAGGGGAGAGUGGGCGAGUGGCCGAGAGGACUUAACGAGAUGAUGUAUAGUGGCACAUCAGAUGCAGAUACUUCCCGAGCAAGCGGUUGCCAUCCAACAUCAUGUGUGUCUGUCUUGAUUAACCGCUGUCAUAUUUGUUCCUCACCACUCGAUCAGAUCAUACAAACAUAUAUUUUGCAUUAGUCGUCAGAACAGAGGAUACAUUUGGUACACAAAUCAACAACUUGCUGCCUGAAGGAAUUAACGCUAAACAUUGACACUUCAUUUUUGGACCGCAGAGAACUUUUGAUUCUAGUUGGAUGAAUGGAUUGCAAGGCAAUAACAGAGUGGGUGUAAAAAGUACAGCAACUAAGAAGAGUACUCAGUACACACUUCGAAAACACAUAUCAUGCACCAUUCGUUUAAUUUGUACCGAUACAUCACAUUGAAAAAUCAUCACAAUACUUGGAUACCAUAAGAUACUUAGAACACCUAGUGUGCUCGCACUGGCACACCACACUUAUAUCACGUGAAACAAUAUAGCAGUUUAAAGGAAAGUCACACACAGCCAACUCCUAGACAUAAAAAUAACUUUUAACACACACGCAGUGGAGAUUAGAUAGUAGCACACCUGCACACUCAGACACACCUUGAUGAUAAAGUAACAGAUGACCAGGAUAAAUUACUGGUGCACACGAAUAUCAAUUUGACGAAGAAUGCAUGGUAGCACACUGCAGAAAUAGUUUCUACUGACGACGAGGAAUGUUGCUUGCAUCAGUAGCCUCAGUGGCCUUGGGUAUUGGAUUCUGCGUAAGGAUAGGGUGAUUUGGAUUUUCUUUUGUGGCAUGUAUGAUGCUACUCAGGUCACAGUUACUGUUCAGCUCAAUCUCUUUCAGGCUCAGAAGUUGUUCAAUUCCAUGUAGGUUUUCCAUGCUAUUGGAAGUCCAAACUAUCUUCUCAAGAUUAGAAGCUCCAUUAUGUUCAAAAUGAAUGUUGGAGAUGUCUGAGUCCUCUAUGACAAGAAGCUGAAGUCUUUUGAAUUUGUUACUCCUCAAAGUAAGCUUCUUGUCCUUAUAUGACUUGGGCCGGAGCAUGAGAAGGCGCAAAUUGCCAAGUUCACCUAGCAGCUGUAUAUCAGUGUCCGUCAAGUAUGUACCACAGAGAGUUAUCUUCGAAAGUUUAUGUAGCUCUUUGAUCCAGCUUGGUAGCCCCCUUAUCCAUCCAUUGAUUCUAAGAUUUAUAAGAGAUUUGGGAGGUGAAAAUGUCUCGUUUGUGUUCAUGUCAUCAGUAUCAUCGCCAUCAUGUUCACUUUUUGAGCGAAACACACUAGUAUCAGUCUUUCUUAUUUCAAUACAGAUUGACAAAGAGCACAGAGAUUCAUGUAGCUUUCCAAUUACCCGAAGCAAAAUGUGGAGCAAAUGGGCUUCAUUGCCAUGGAUAACCACACCCAGCUUCCUCAACUGCUGCAGCCGACCAACUUCAGUUAACUAAUGCUCAUCACCUUUCUUGGAAACUUCAACAUGGGAUAGUAUCUGCAUGUUUGUCAUGGUCCCUAUUCCAUGAGGGAUAUGAACAGUGGAAAGUGACUCAUCUAGCCCGGUGUGACCUGCAAGCAGAUGCACUAGCUUUUGGAGCAUACCAAUGGCUUUUGUAGGGAAUGAUCGUAUCUUGGUUUGCCUGAUGUCAAAUGUCUCCAGGUACCUGAGCUUGUCAAUCUCCUUGGGCAGGUCAGUAAGGUCUGUGUUCCUUAGACUGAGAUACUUGAGCUGAAAUAGCUUGUUGCAGAUUAUCUUGAGGUUCUGCUUCUUUAAUCCAUUGCAACCUUCUAGGUCCAGCACUUUGACCAAUCCUAAUUGAGAAGAUGCGAGCAGCGAAUUCAGAAAUGUUACCAUGGCAUACAAGGGAUCCUUGAUACUGGCAGGGGGCUUCUGGGGUCUCCAGCAGCAUGUGUUGAGAUAUGUGGCUUGUCUCUUCUUGGGGAGUUGUUGGAGUUGAAUUCCAUUGCGAAUGGAAAGGCAGUGUGCAAACUCAGGCAGCAGGCCUGUGUUCCCAACAUUCUCUUCACGUGCCAUCUUAGCAAUGAAGGAGCAAACAUGAGGAUGUACCUUACAAAACUUGACUUUGCCUUCAGGGCCAAGUUCACAGGGAAGAACAAGGCCUCGUGCAACGAGCGCAUUGAAUGCACGCUCAGCAUGAUCCAAUGCAGUCAACUCAUGUGUUCUGAUGAUCAGGUUUUCAGCAACCCAUCUUCUGACUAAGCUUGUUCUCCGGAUUUUGGAAUCUUGGGGGAAAAUGGAUAGGUACAACAAGCACAUCUUAUAAUGGCUGGGGGUCGUCAUAACAGAACCUUAGGAUUUGGUUUGCAUUACUCAGUGUGCUAAAAUCUUUUAGCCUAUGCAGCAGUUUCUUCCAAUCUUCAUUGCUUCUGUGAGGAUUAGCAUGAAGAGCAUGAAGGACCAUCUUGGUAGAAAAGGAAUCCCAACGACAUCUCUUAAGAAUUUGCUCAACAAUGCCCAGUGAUUCCUCCAUGUAGUUGCUCCCGUCCAGCAAUUGGGUGGCUUUUUUGAGUGCAGUAUCAAGAUAGGAUAAGAAGUGGACGUUGCAGCGGUAAUCUUUGAGCAAGAAAAAAUAGCUAGCUAUGUACCACCCAUGCAAAUGAGGUGUCUGCUGUAUCAUUGGGGUUACUAUGAUAGCACUGUCAGAAGUGUGAUCAGUUGGCAAAGCAUUUGUAAUGUCUGCCCAUGGUGAAUGAUCCUCAUGAUCAGCCAGAAUGAUCAAGAAUUUUUGACCUUUCAGGUGCUGUUGAAUCUCUUGCUCCAAUUUCAUCUCAUCCCAUGUGGUAAUCUGAUGGUCUUCAAUGGAGUGGGGUUGUACUUGUUUGAGUAUGAAUUGAAGCCUCUCCUUCCGAUUGGGAUUGCGCUUGGCAUCGACCCAGACCUUGAAGUUGAAAUGACUUGCUGCAUCAGGAUGGUCAUACACUGUCCUUGCAAGAUCAGUCGCCCGCUUGUGUGCCUCUGGAUUACUGGCAUCAACCGGUGGUGUUACAAUGGCAAGGAGUUUAGCCCGCAUAUGGUCAUUGCCGAAAACUCCCUUCAGCCAUCGAAUCAACUUCAUAGUGUAUUGCACCUCCAUCGCGGACAGUUCUUUUGCCUUUUCUUUCUGGUUAUGUCUUCCUCCCUCCUCUCCAUCCUCCUCCUCCUCCUGCUCUACUUCUCUUCGUCCUCCUCCCUCUACUUUAGGGGAGUCAAUUACUGUUGACUUUCCGGGUGGUUGUUUUUCCUUUUCUCUCUGGUUCUGCGUUCCUCCUCCCUCUCCUUGCUCCCCCUUUUCUACGUCUGUUCCUCCUUCCACUUUUUCAGAUGAGCUAGCUACUGUUGACUUUGUGGGCGGUUGUUUUUCCUUUUCUCUCUUGUUCUGUGUUCCUCCUCCUCCCUCCCCAUCCUCCUCUUCUCCUCCGCUUCCUCCUUCCACCUUUUUAGAUGAGCUAGCUACUGUUGACUUUCCGGGAUUGUCACCUCCUAAUAUCAUGCCCAUCAGCCAGCCACCAUCGUGAACCAGCUCCCUUACCCCCUCUUUGGCCAGAUGACGCAGCAUCAGCCACACUUUCUUUUUGACCUUCUCAUUCUCCUCCUGCACCUUCGUUGCCUCCUCAAGUAGUACCAUCACCUUCUGCUUGGCGUUUUCAUACCAUUCGAGCACCUUCUUAUCCUUGAUCUCCUGUAAUUUCUUUUUGAUCUCGUUCUCCUCCACCACCUUCAUGGCCUCCUCUCGCAGAUUCUCUUCAAACGUGUUCCCUUGCUCCUUCUCUUUGGUCUUCACAAACUGCUCCACCCUCUUCUUAUACUUGGGCAGCCCCAUGAUUAUCUCCUCCCUCUCACUAUGAUCCAUGUAACGCAUUGUGUGAAGCAGCUCCCCUUUGGCAUUUGUGGAAAGCAGCUCCUUAUCUGUGGCAUUCGAGAACAACGGUAGCCUCCUUUUAUUCUUGAACUCCGGCAUCAUCGUCUUCAUGGGCAUCUUAUCGAACUCGUCCCAUAUGGCCGUGUCGUACCACUGCCGCCUCCUCUUUUCUUUCAGCUCCUGCAUCGUUUUUUGGAUGUUCUCGUCCUUGUCCACCAACUUUAUGGCCUCCUUAUUUGUUUGCAUCCUUGCGACUACAGGUAUAGUCGCGGUUAAGGCAUGCUGCUCGGUUAUUUUGGCUUUGUUUAUCAUGCUCAGUAGAUCUUUCUCUUUUACUAGUCCCUUUCCUAACUUGAGUAUCUGCACCACUAGUUCAUCAUACUUGGACCUUGCUAUCCAGAUGUCACCAAGGCUACUGGACUUUGGAUGAUCACCUUCUCCUCUCAGCCACGCAAUCACCUGCUGCGCUCUCGCGUCAACGUCCAAUAGGUCGGCAAUAUCAGCUACAGCAGUAUGCCUCUGAUUAUCUUCCUCCUCCGCACCAUCUUCUCCGGUGGAAGCGUGAGUUGCUGGUGGCUUGUCCGGGACAAUCGUGACGCCAUACCUCUGCCGCCGCUCCCCCACCUCGCACACCCUGGACUUGAGCUCUCGGAUCUGCAUGGCGAUGCGGUGGCGAUCUGGCAUGGUCCGCAUUAUCUGCGGCACAUGCUGUACGGUGCCAAGGAGCCCCGCCGUGGGGCGGCUGGCACCGCAGGUCUGCACGUAGCGGUCAAUGCAGUUCUGGGAGUCAUAGGCGACCUCCCGGACUUGCCUCAUCCAUGACCGGACCUGGUUGUUUGGUUGGCAACCCGUAUCGGCCACGUCGAGUAGGAAGCCGUUCAUGCUCUCCAUCUCGUCCUUGAUGAACUGCACGUCGCCACGGACACCGCCCAGCAGUUUGGCCUCAUCGCUGAUGACCGUGGCUAGGGUGCCCAGCAGCGAGCCCACGGCGCUCUGGGCGCUGCCGGCCAUCUUGAUGUCCGCUUUUCCUCCUCUCUCUUGUUUGGAAUAGUAUAGUUGGAUUUGGACCAAGGCGUAGUGACGAACUAAGCGAUGAGGCUAUGGGCAUCUUCACGGCACGGGACAAGUCUAGCAAAGCAAAAGGAAACCAUCAUCCUUCAUCUGCACGUAUGCCCAUGCAUGGGACCGGCUGGGCCAAAAUUCUGUUCCAAACUUGCGAGUCUCUCUGAAGUAAGGUUGGCAAUCAGGCGCUCUGCGACCAUGGGCAGAGAGUACAUUGCCCAUCUCGUCUAUUAGCAUGUAAGGCACGCAGUCACCUCUUUCUUAUGAUGUACGCUUUAUGUAGCAUCAGUACUAUAACAACAUACACUCUAUUUAUUAUUAAUGGAAGUCUAUUUUUGUCAUCCGAUCUUCUUUUUGGUAGCUUUUUCAACCUUAAAACUUUCUGGUGUUACGGUCAAAAUGCUAUGUUUAUAUGUCGCGUUUUCGGCCCCCAAGAAAACAUAGUUGUACAUUACACGAUGAUAUGUUUACAUGCAAGAAAAUUGUGCAGACUCAUUACUGUGAAUCUCAUAUGGGCUCCUCCAUGCAGGUCAAGAAAAGUAACCUUGCAUCCUUUGCCCCAAUCAGAAAUGGCCAUGAUCAAGAGGGUCCACGUUAAAAACUGAAAGCACAAGACAUGAUAUGUGCUUUGAUUAUCUUUCUCAUUCACCUUAGCAAAAGCAACGCAUCUUGGCAGAUGUGCAAAAGCAAAAGGAAAAAAAUUGUUUAUCCGCAUAUACAUAGCGGGAGGAAUACUUAUAUGGCCAAGGCUGCAGAGUAGUAGAUGGAGCCUAUGGGUUGGAAAAGAACCGGUUCCAAACCUGCGUAGCUAGAACUAGCUACGAAAGAGGUGAAGGAAAGAGCAAGAGUGUGGUGGAUAGUUGUGUCCAAGACACACUCCAUUGUGGGCUUAUGACCUACGUUUGUAUUUGGGAAAAAUUGAAUUUUCAAGUUUUUUUCUUUCUUUUUACCUGCAAAAAAAGAAUUUCCAAGUUUUUUUUUCUUCAUCUAGCUGGACGUAAGAUGAUUUUCCUUUCGACAUGCAUCUCCGAUGGUCGAGUUAUUAACGACUUAAUGUCGGGCCUGGAUGUCCCUGGUUGCUCCUGUAUGAGCUUCCUAGUUCUUGCGCUGUUAACAGAUAUGUGUACGUGCUGCAGGAAGGCGUACUAUCAUGAUGAACUAGAUCGGGCUCGUGCCUUGACGCGAGGGUGCCGGUCCCAACGUUUUGGUCAACCGGGUAAUUGUAAGUUAGUAGGAAUCCAUGUUUUG